CCUACGGGUCGCACCAGUGGGGAAUAUUGGACAAUGGGUGAGAGCCUGAACCAGCCAUGCCGCGUGCAGGAAGACGGCCCUAUGGGUUGUAAACUGCUUUUACCAGGGGAUAAAACGGUCUUGCGAGACUAAUUGAAGGUACCUGGUGAAUAAGCCACGGCUAACUACGUGCCAGCAGCCGCGGUAAUACGUAGGUGGCAAGCGUUGUCCGGAUUUAUUGGGUUUAAAGGGUGCGUAGGCGGUUAUAUAAGUCAGUGCUGAAAUAUCCCGGCUUAACCGGGAGGGUGGCAUUGAUACUGUUUGACUUGAGUAAAGUUGAGGUUGGCGGAAUUGACGGUGUAGCGGUGAAAUGCUUAGAUAUCGUCAAGAACACCGAUAGCGAAGGCAGCUAACUAAGCUUUAACUGACGCUGAGGCACGAAAGUAUGGGGAUCAAACAGGAUUAGAUACCCCGGUAGUC
rnacentral:rRNA from 1 species